CCAAAAUUGAGAACCUCUAAGUCUCCACACCAAGGAGAGAUUGGAGAAGAAAUGAGUGACCUUGGAGUAAUAGUAUGGCUAGAUACCCCCUCCAAGGGGCCGGCCUCUUUAGAGAGAAAAGGAGAGACAAGUUCUCACCAAUUUUCUCCAAAGGAAACCCUAAUGAAUUUUGGCUAUAAAGUCAUAUUUAUACCUUUAUUCAUUUGAGUGGCCAACUUGUAAUUAAAGCAAGUUCACUACCCUUCCUCUAAAUGGCCGGCCAUGGGGUUUUGUUUGGGCUUUUAGGCCUUUGUGAAUUACGUUGUCAUACAACUUAAGUCAAUGACUUGACGUUCGAAGCCCAUUGGGCCUUGAGGCCCAAAACUAUCCCGAGGUCUUUAACGAACUUAUUCGUUUGAUUAAUUAACAUAUUAAUUAAUCCUUGCCAUAAAUAAUUAAACCAUUUAAUUAUUCUUACUCAUCUCCAUUGUUUCUUCAAUCUCCACCUUACACGGUGUACGAUCCAUUAGGUUCCUUUUAGCGAUGCAGUGGGCGAUUAAAACCAUUUUACAUCGAUUGUGAAUUGAAACUUACUUUCAAUUCUCCCUUUAGUGAUUACACACGUUUAGGGCUUCCACAAACCAUGAGUGACACCUAGCAGCAUAUCAUGGUUACCCAAGCUAAUCAGAAGAGGUGGAGAACCUAUUCAGUUUAGGAUUACAAAUGCAAUACGGUCUUUCUCUAAUCUAAUACUCUUGACCACAUUGUUUGGUUUGAUAGUUUAUUUAUUCAUGUCUACUAUCCAAUGUGAUUCGUGUGCUUAUAUGAUUACCUUGAAUGUGAUUUGGAACGCUUUCCUAAAUCUCAUUCAUACUCUGGCCAGAGAUUCUAAAUCAUAUCAUAGAGUAUUCUCCCUCAAACGGAUUUGAAGGUUAGAGAUCCCUUGUUGCGCAUUCACUUGUCUCCAUGGACUAAGUGGCUUAACCCCUAACGAUGUCGUGGACACCCCGAUGGGGGUGACUUUGACAUAAUCAAAGAUCAAGGACUUAACCACAAGACAACUGUGAUGCCUCAGGUCAAAGGACUACUUUGCAUUAUCCCAACCAUGAGUUCUCAUGUGACAUGAAUAUGAGAACUCUUCGUUGAUCGUGUUCAGUGAACUCAUUCUCUAUUGAGCACCUACGUACUUGUCUUGAUGUCACACACACCAAUGACUCGAGACUAGUCACUCUCCCUGAGAGAAGACACAGCACGUACUGAUCUUAACGGACUGUCAAUGCCCAAUUGGCAAUCCUAUGAUCAGGAACGUUUAGGAUGUGUCUACGAAAGAAUGGUCUCAUGAAUCUAACUUCUUUAGAUUGCAUUCUCCCAAUCACAUAUUCCUUGGACUUAUCGUUUAAGCAUAUAACAUUUAUAUGAGACGGCUUAAAACAAUAAUCUUUGCCCUUGAUAUUAAACUAGAUUAGUUUAACAUGUGAAAUGUCCGUAAAGUAUCAUCAUAUGAUUGGUUUUAGGGCACAUUUCCAACAAUCUCCCACUUGCACUAGAGCCAAUCAGCUUGGUCAUCAGUGAUGAUACCUCUUCUGUAGUCAUUUCAUAAAUGGCUGAGUAGUAGGCCUAGACAAUGGAUAUCUAUAUGUUAUCCAUAGAAGCAACCUUGAGAAUAACGACGUCACCAUUAUACAUGAUUCUCAAUCAUGUGGUUCAGUCUCUCAUUUGAGUUCGGAUCUUGAUGAGACCUUGAUUCCCUGGCUUGAGCUAUCGCCCCAUUAGUGUCAUACACUUUCUGGUUGGAACCGAAUAGAGAGUUCAUAAAUGAACUUUCCCAUCCAAACAACAUUGUUGUAAACUUCUAUAUGGCAAUAUAUUUUGCAUUCAUAAUGGAACACACUAAAGUCAUUACUUUAAUGUUUCCAUCCAAAUAUCUCUUUAGUCAUAAUAAAGAGAUAUUUGUUUAUCUCUUCAUUCAUAAAGAAGAAACAUCCAAUGAUGGAUUAGAUUCAUAAUCUAAUACAUUUACGCUUCCAUUACGUUACUCUAAUUCUUCCUCAUUCUUUGAGGAAUCUAUCCUUUAGUAUUUCUUAAAUACUUAAGGAUUCACUUGACAGUUGCCAUGGUUCUGAUCCUGGGCUUGCACUGAUAUCGUCUUGUACCGUUCUAGGUACAACUCAUAUCAAUGUUUUUCAUACAAUAUGAAAUACAUAAAUCACCUUUCUGCGCUUAUGCAUAAAGGAUUCUAUUUACGCAUUAUUUCUUUGGGAGUCAAAGGGUACGUUCCCUUUGAGAAGAGCAACAUCUUAGUCUCACUAAAGUUGUCCUCUUGAUUGAAGUUUAUCAUCAUAUGAGAAACUUCCUAGCAUCUCUUGUCUAUUAUUAGGGAUUGAUAUAAUCAAAUUAUAUCCUAAAAUCUAUCAUUAUAGAUUUCCAUCCCAUGUAUAUAGACUAUGUCUCCCAUAUACAUUAUAUCUUCAUAUAAUGUUUUAAAGUCAUAACUUUAACGAAGAAGUAUUCUUUUCAUUUCCAAAAUUAAUAUAUCAUAUAUAUUUAAAUUUUAGGAACAUGAUUAACUCCCAUAUACAUUCUAUCUUCAUAUAAUGUAUUAAAGUCAUAACUUUAACGAAGAAGUAUUCAUUUCAUUUCCAAAAUUAAUAUAUCAUAUAUAUUUUUAAAUUUUAGGAACAUGAUUAACUCCCACUAAUCUUUUGUAAACCUAGUAAACAAAAGAUUCAUUUACAUCUUUAUGAGAAAUCAAACGAUUUGAUCCUUUUUCUCAUAAGAUGCUUAUAGCUCCCACUAGCUUGCUAAGAUUCAUGAUGGAUGGAUGGAUCUCUACAACUUACAUGUCUUGUGAUUUAUAGUUUUAGACAUAUAUUAUCAAGACUAUCUUAAUAAUGGUUUCGGAAACCCAUAUUAUGUCCAAACAUUGAAUCACCAUUUAGUUGUAGCUAGCAAUCUUCGAAUUAAUUGAAACCAAGACUAUCUCAAAGAUGGUUUCUUCAAAGUCAACCAUUCUCUUUGAUUGUAGUCACCUUAAGCUACCAAUUAGCUUAUGAAGGUUUCAUUAUUUCGGGUCAAAUGGUACUUUACCAUUUCCUUGAGUAUAUAUAUCGUAUAUACACUCAAUGUAGUCAUAAGGAUUUUCAUUCUUAUUUCUUUCGAAUUAAGAGGUGCAACUCUAUGACAUAGUCAUAAAGUUCAAACCAUUCAACUGAGACGGUUUAUAAAUCCUUCUCGACUACCUUGGAGCUUUGUGGUAUAGGAACUAGGUUGUUAUAUAUUUGUUGAUUAUUAUCUUGUCUCUCAAAGAACCCAUUCUUUGAGUUCUAUCUCUCGUUCAUUUGCUUUAGGCAAAUCACAUUGUAGGAUUACAAUGAACUACCCAACAAAACAACAUUUGUUAGUUGGUUUAUAGAAGCGAUAUCCAAAAGUUAAUUUAAGGAUAUCCCACAAGAAUUGUUAAUCAAACAAAUAUUGCUUAUUAGCACACAACCCCAAAUCUUAACAUGCUUAAGAUUUGUCUUUCUUUCCAACUACAUCUUAUGGAGUCAUGAAAAAAUUUGGAAGAUCUUCUAAUUGACAAUCAUAUUGUUUUAGAAGUAUAUAUCCUAUAUAUGGGUAAUAGAUAACAUCUAACGAACUAAAUCUUAUUCAAGUUCGUUCUUCUCCUAAUGGAGAAAUUCAUUAUCUUAUGAUGCUUCUUUCCUUGAUAUCUUUCAAGGAAACUCAUCUAAAGUGUUACCUUUUCCUUGGAUCAAAUCUAAGGAGGUAAAUACUUUAGACGUCUUACUCAUCAACUUACAUUUCUUGAAUUCUUUGAAACCUUUUGCAAAGUAUUCGGACUUGUGUUUAUUCAAAAUAAACUAUAGUCCAACCGAGAGUGAUCUUCGGUGAAUGUCAUACAACAUGAGUAGUAUUAUGUUGUGGACAAGUGCCACUAACAUCUAAGUGAAUUAACCUCAACAACUUUGUGAUUCUUUCUUCUUUCCAAAAGAAUAAAGAUUCAAACAUUUCGCCUCUAUACAAUUUUAACAAGAAGGUAUUGGAUCCGGAUCUAACGAUCCAAAGCAUCCAUCUUUGACCAACUCGUAAUUUAUGUUUUAGAGGUAUCACAACUUAGUUAGGAUUAGUCACUACCUUGCAACCCUUUUGGGUUUUAAGCAUCAUUAUAUUCUAAACAGUUAACACUACCAUAUCAUCUCUACUAUAGAGACAAUCAAUUAGAUUACUAUAAUCCAAUCAUUCAUUAAUAAAGAACAAUGUUUUGUCAAACAAAACAUUCAUCCAUUCUCUACUAUAGUGACGGAAUUAAAUUCCUUAAAAUUGGAAUGUAAAGACAAUCUUUGGUUUUUCCAAUUUCUUUGGUAGUUCAUAUGAGGAAGUAAGUACUAUCUGCUUUCGCAGAGAUCUAUAUUUUAUUCACGUUCCGAAUGUGAAGCACCUUUUCUUCUCUCAUAUAUCUUCUACUUCUUAUUAGUCACACUUUUACAAACGAUUGUAAAAACAUAGUUACUAAUACGGAAUCAAGCAUUCAAGUAGAAGAACCAACUGUUUUGAACUAUUCAAGAACAAUUUACAACACCUUCGAAAGGUGUGUUCUUGACACUUGCAAGACAUUUCUUGCAAAUACCCCUUCCAAUGUCCAUCCUUUCAUAAAGAAAGUUUGUUCCCUUGGAGUUAUUUUAUCUUCUUUAUUUGACUUUCACCUUUGACUACAAUUAGUCAUGGUCCCUAAACUCCCACUAUCUCUCUUGGAACUUAUUUCAAUUGUGUUAUACACAUCAAACAUUUUGGAGAGCAUGUGGUUUAUUGUUCACUACAUAUAGUUUACAAUAAACUUAGUGAACCAUUAGGAUAGGGACACAAAGGUGAAGUCCUUGCCUAGUUUCCGUCUCGUUAAGUGGUUUAACACUUCAACACUCAAUGAUUCAAAAUCAUCAUAAGUCCAUGUUGAUGGACUAUUUUUGUCAACCAACCAUUAUGUUCUAAACAUAAUUACAAACUUUCAAGAGUUGUUCAAGGCAACUCUCAUUUCUUCAUACAACAAUUUGUAAGUGAAGAAUCAUGGCACACAUUAAGUGUCCAUGCCCUUUGUGCUUUCUUCUCAAGUUCUUUGUUCAUUGUAACAAAGAAACAAGCACUAAGUGUUUGCAUUGACUAAGGGUUGUUCAAAGCAACUCUUUAUUUCUUCAUACAACAAAUUUGUAAUUGAAGAAUUAUGACAUUAAAAGUGUUGUCCUCUUUAUGAUAGACUUUUCUCCUUCUUCUAAUGAAAUAUUAUCUAAGGAAGAUUUGGAUAGAUUUGAGACUUUGACUUAGGUACAUAUAGACACUUUAGACAAUCUUAUUUGGGAUUGUUGUACCAAGUCCGGAAACUAAAGCAUUCGGCUUUUCUUUGUCAAGUUUUGGAUAGCGUUUGCAAAUAUAUUGGUAAACAAAUACAUAACGAAUAUAAAAUUGAUUGAUUUUUAAGCCAUUUGAUUCCGGGUCUUUAAAUCAAAUUCACCACCCACUAUUUUUGGCAAAUUCCAUAUCCCUCAUUCGAGUUUUUGGAGGAAACUCUUUAUGGGAGACUCACUUACCAAGCCCACCUCAGAAGAAAAUCAUUGGAUGGCUAGCAACGUUAAUAAUAAUGAGAGAGAGUACGCUUACUCAUUACCAAGCCACCUCACUUGAAUACCUAUUGGCUAGCAUUAAUAAUUAUGAGAGAGUACGCUUACUCAUUUGCCUCUUGCAAGUACCCAUCUUAUUUGGCCUCUAGAGAAUAUUCAUAUGAUAUUGGCACCAUUGCACUUAGUUAAGUCAUUCCAGGGGUUCAAGAAUGGCCUCAGAAGAAUAUCAUAUUGCCACACUCGUUGCCUACCUUUCACUUCAUCAUAUGUGUAUAGGCUUCCUCCUGAAUGUAAGCACAUACUUUGCAACCCCAUGAACUAGGGUGAAUAGCCGGUGUAUGAGUCACAAACGAUUGGAAGCCCACCACGGUGGAAGGCCACGAAAGAGUGUUCAAAGCACUCUCACGCUUAUCAACUUAAUAAUGGUUUGGUUGAGGGUUUUAGGUCUCAUCACAUAUAAAUAUUCAUUUUAAUCUCUAUUAAAACAAUUUUGGUCCUAUUACAACUAUUGGUCCAUUGAUUGUUUUAGUUGUAUAUAAUACUCCCACUAUGCUUAUAAAACGGUUUUUAAAGCAAGAGUAUAUGAUACUACUAACAUAAACUUUGCAUUCAUUUGAUGGACUAUAUAGUUGCCUUAGGGCCUUAGGAUGACUAUGAACCUUUGUUUAGAUUCAACACGAGCCUUAGUGUUGAAUCUCGGUCUAGGGAUGGUGAUUGAUUUUAGUUACGCGUUUAAUCACAUUAAGGCGUGUUGUCUUAGGGGCGUUGGACCCAACUACUUCAUUUUCAUGCAUAUCAAAUAAAGCAAGAAAGAAGUACUUCAAAGUAAAGGUGAGCUUAUGCUCAUUACAACAUUUGCAUAAAACAAAUUACUUUAAAGUAAGAAGAGCUUAAUGCCCUUUUACAACAUUUGAUCAAAUCAAAUUACAACCAAAAUCUAAUCUACACAUUCCCAUGGUUCAAACAAAUUUGAAACGGCCUUUCACAUAGCUCAAUUAUAUUAGGCUUAGGUUCAUAAUCACCCUUUAAUUAAUUAACACUUUAACUAAUUAAAUUGAAUGCAACAUUUUCAUUUGGUUUUUGUAUCCAUAAAAUUGAUUUAAAUGGAGCUAAAUGAAAUGAAAAUCCAAUUCUCAUUUAAAGAGACAAAACAAUUUUGUUCUCAACCUAAUUUGGGCCAAAAUGCAAUUAACCACAACUUUUGGGCAUAUUGCAAAAACAUAAACUUUUGGGGUCACUUUGUAAAACACAAAAGUCCACUACUUCAUGUAAUUACAACUAGAACCCAAAAAUUUAAAACAAUGCAAAAACUUCAUUAAAGGAGCAAAACAAUUUGUCCUUUAGCGUUUUUGGACCUAAACGUAAAAACGUAAACUUUUGGGCCAAAGUGCAAAUACACAAAAGUAUCAAAACUUUAUGUAAUUGCAUAAAAGCCCCAAAAGUACUCCCACUUGAGGGAGGGCCGGUUUUGGAGAAGGAUUAGAGUGAUGUGUGUGUUGAUUUGUGAGUUUUGACAUAAAGCAAUCAAGUGGUGCAAGUGGUGUGUGUGAAAGGGAAUUAAUCCUUUCACACCCAUCAUAAUAUCUCUUACAUCUCUUACACCAUUUAAACAAAUAUCUAAUGCAAUUAAACAUUUGAAAAACAUAAAACAUAAACUUUAUGAAAUAAAUCAAAACUUUGAAUCAAAACACAAAACUUUUUGUUCUUGGCAAAAAUGUCAAGAACAAUGAAGAACAUUCAUGAAAAACUCAAAAAUUUCCAUGAACAUUUUUCACCCAAAAACAUUCCAAAACCAUUCAAACUUUAGGGAAAUAACAUCUAACCAAACUAGGGUACAUAGGGGUUCCAAAAGUCACUUGAAAACACUUUUAACAAGUCAAACAAGAACCCAAAAAUCCACCCUUUGGAUUUGGCCGAAAAUUCCCAAAAUCAUGGCACCAAAUUUUAGCUCCAAUAUUCAUGCUCAUAUGAACUACAUCUACAACAUUUGAGAUGGCAAAUUUUCUAACAAAAUUUACAUUCAAAGAAACAAGAAUAAAGCUUGUAACAUAUUACAACUUUUAAAUCACAAACUAUGAACUACAAAACCCAAAAGGAUUCACCAACUACUAGACCUAGGCUCUGAUACCACUUGAAGGAAUUAUUUUGUGAAAACAUGUUCAUUUGAGCAACAUCAUAUAGCAUGCAAUUAACAAUUAAAGGCGGAAUCAUGCUUGCAUGCAUUCAAAAACAAAACAUUAACCAUGAAAUUCAAAGCCUAGUAGAUUGGUGAACCAAGACUCAACUCAAAACAAAGUGAGUUGAAAUUAUACCUUUGUAGAUUCCUCUUUGCAUAAGCAAAGGCUAAUCACCCAAAGAGAGGGCCUUCAUUCCUUGCAUCUUAAAAUCUAUGGAUUUGGAUGGAAUGAAAUAGGUUUCUCCAAGUUCCCAAAAUUGAGAACCUCUAAGUCUCCACACCAAGGAGAGAUUGGAGAAGAAAUGAGUGACCUUGGAGUAGUAGGAUUGCUAGAUACCCCCUCCAAGGUGGCCGGCCUCUUUAGAGAGAAAAUGGAGAGACAAGUUCUCACCAAUUUUCUCCAAAGGAAACCCUAAUGAAUUUUGGCUAUAAAGUCAUAUUUAUACCUUUAUUCAUUUGAGUGGCAAACUUAUAAUUAAAGCAAGUUCACUACCCUUCCUCUAAAUGGCCGGCCAUGGGGUUUUGUUUGGGCUUUUAGGCCUUUGUGAAUUACGUUGUCAUACAACUUAAGUCAAUGGACUUGACGUUCGAAGCCCAUUGGGCCUUGAGGCCCAAAACU
rnacentral:lncRNA from 1 species